AUGCGGCAGACAAGGACGACGACGGCACCCACUCUGCUCCUUGGCAAAAUGUUGAUUGACUUCAUCCUCAACGUGGUCGGUUAUCUUUAGAACGAUAUUGGAGAGCCCGAUCAAGCCUAUUUUUUCCUCUGAUGAAGUGGCAGUUUGCAUACAUGGAAUUACAGAAAAAACUUGACUCGAUUUUGCAAUCUGGGCUAAAGCGUAUGGCAAGGUUACAUGUACAUUUCUCAAGUGGCUUACCAUUAGACGAAGAAGUAAUCAGUGAUGGGAUGAAGCUUUAUAUUUCAGACAACAAAGGGAUCUUGAUAGAAGGUUUUGAUGGUGUCGGCCCUGUGAAAUACUUUGAAAGAAUCGAAACAUGGCCAGGACGAGCCCCAAUACCGUUCCAAAGAUAACAUGCUUGCUUAAAUAUUUCCGAUUUGUGUAGCAUGUGUGUUGAUAAUAUGAUUUUCUCAGCUUCUGCAAAAGACGAACAAAUCAAAAGGGUGAUCAUCUCGGUGCCCACCAAACCUCAACAACCGAGUUUCAUGUCUAAUCUCGACGUUCAGCUUCCAUCUGCUUUG